rnacentral:lncRNA from 1 species
ACUUGCUCUUGUCUCUCCUGCUCACCUCCACAUAAUUAGCAGGGAAGAUGCCCAGGCGGCCGUGGUGCUCUCCCUCCAGCCAGUUCUUGUCCACCUCCUUGUGGAUGUAGACAAUGUCACCCUUCUGCAGAGUCAGCUCCCUGCAGGUGGGGACGAGGACCGCAGGGAAGGGGCUUCCUCCAUCAGCCAUUUUGUGGGGACUCAGGGACCGGGCGGAACCCAGGUAAGGUGCAUGUGGGUAGCUGGAGCUCCAGGCUGAGGCCGGGCUGCACGGGGCACAGAGACUGAGCCUCCAGCCUGGGGCUCCGCACCCCACCCUGGUCACCCCUAGACCGCUCUGACCCCCCAUCGCCCCCAUCCCUGCCACCUCCUCCCAGGGCGUCUCCCGGGUCCUGGGCUCUCCACAGGAUGUCCUACUUCCCGAGUCGCUGCGCGGGGAAGGGUGAGGCCCGGCAGGGCCCAGCGGGAGUGCCUGGGCCGUGGCGGGGCCGCCCUAACCGCGCUGCGCCCCCGGCGGCCGCGACCCCGGUCCUCUGCUAGGAGUUAGCUGCCCUCGGUGGCGCGGGAACGGCGCCCCGCAGAGAGUGGCGCUGCGGUCCCUCCCGGACACGGCUCUGCGGUUCCUUCCUCCCCCGGCUGGGCCCCGCGAUCGCCCCCGUCCGCCCCGCCCGGCCGCGCCACGUUCCCUCCCGCCCGGCCUGGGACAGCCCCCUUCCUCCUCCCGCGUCUCCCACUCACCCGGCCGGGGGCCGCUGCUCCGGGGCCCGUCGGGGCGCCGGCGAGCUCUGCGCGGGGAAACGGCGCAAUCAGGGCCCGCGACCCCGGGACCCAGCGGCAGCCGAGGCCGCCGCCUCCGGAAAAGUUCGCGGCUCGGGAGGGGAGGAGAGCGGGCGGGACGCGGGGUCCUAGAGGCGCCCGCGCGGCCGAUCCCGGGAGCGGGGCGGGAACUAGGGGAAGGGGCGGGGGUCCCCGAGGCUGGGGCCCGGGGGCCGGACGGGGCGGGCGCCCGGUCGUCGGGCUGACGUGGAGUCCGCUUAGAAAGGCUCCUCGGGGUCACUUGCGAAAGUCGACGCCCUGUAUUUUAUUUAUGGAGGAGCGAGCCCGCCAGCGCCCAGGAGGGCCCGAGGCCGGUGCGCGCCGCUGGAGGCCGGACCUCGGCUGCCCGUCCUCCGCCCAGCCCAGCCGCCGAGGCUCCCGGCUCGCCCCGACCCUGCGGUCGCCGGCGUGCCCCGCGGGUGAACCCUGGGGGCUGGUACCUUGGGGGACGGCAGUCGGGUCUCAAUUGCCCGCAGGUCCUUGUCCAGCUCGGCGCUCAGCUCGGCCAGCUCUCUCUCCAGCAGCACCUGGGGGCGGGGAGAGGCUGGGCAGUGAGGGGCAGCGCACCGUGGGGGUGGGAGGCAGCGGUCAAAGAUCGACUGUGAAAAGCAAGGCCAGCGCACCGGGCCGGCGUAAGGGCAGGCCUCAGCGCACGGGCCGGGCUCCUGCCAGGAGGUGUGGCCCAGGGUGCCAAGAGGGCAUCCCCGCCACGGCCUCUCACCUGCCCAGCACGCCCCGGGAGUGCCUACGCGCUUCCUGAUCCCGCGAUUCCGCAGUCCUGCCAGUUUCUGCCAAGUUGUGUCUCUGUUACAGCACCAAUGGGGUUCCCCAUUUCCUCUCCCAUCUUCUCCCGCCCUCCAAGGCCUGGCUUCACUGUGCCCAUCCAGGUUCCCCCGCCACCCCAGGGACCGGAGCCCCCACCCCCACGCUGCUUCCUGCCAGCCUCUGCUAUGGGUCUUCGCCGAAUCAGGCCCUCGGAGCUUCUCAAGGGUCCAGCUCCACCUCCAAGAAUAUUUCCUGAUAAUCCCAGUGCGCACUGACCACUCCCUUUUCUGCUCCUGCUUUGGCCAACACAUAUUUAUUUAACACAUGUUUACUGAGCGCCUCCUGUAUGCCAGCCACUGUCCUGAGUGCUGGCAUUACAGAAAUAAACCAUGUGGGACUGGA